GCUAGAGGAGGAAGAGGGGCUGCUGGAGAGAGAGAGCGCGCCAGGUUCAGGUCCAGGGAGGAGAGAGAGCGAGCGCGCGAGGCGGAGACCUGGAGGGAGAGGAGCUGCGGAGAGGGGUUAGGCGGGGAGGGAGAGAGAGAACCAGGUUCCGGUCCAGGGAGGAGAGAGACAGCGCGCGCGAGGCGGAGACCUGGAGGAGAGGAGCUGCGGAGAGGGGUUAGGCGGGGAGAGAGAGAGAGCGAGCCAGGUUCAGGUCCAGGGAGGAGAGAGACAGCGCGCGCGAGGCGGAGACCUGGAGGGAGAGGAGCUGCGGAGAGGGGUUAGGCGGGGAGGGAGAGAGAGAACCAGGUUCAGGUCCAGGGAGGAGAGAGACAGCGCGCGCGAGGCGGAGACCUGGAGGGAGAGGAGCUGCGGAGAGGGGUUAGGCGGCGGGAGGCCCGGGAGCGUUACAUGUGUGUGGACUCGGGGAGGGCGGCGGGGGGCCGCUCCUCGGGGCCGUCUGCCUGCAGGAAGGAGUCCACGGACUUGCUGCUGAGGCGGAAGGGCAUCAGGCGGCAGAAGGUGCCGGGAGAGUAGGGAAUCUGCGUGCGGGCCCUCUGCGAGGGGACCACCGUCUCCCCGGGAGACAGCCAGGGCGGCAGCCUGGCCAGGAGGCUGCGGUCCAGGGCCUCGUCCGGAGAAAACACAGGGUUGUCAAUUCCUAGGAGAGAGGGCAGCGGCUAGUCAGCCUUCGGAGAGCCCCACGGCGGCAGGGGAGACCUCGCCGGGGCCGUCACCUGCUGGGUGCCUUGGAAAGUUAGGGUCACGUGCCUUUCAGGUUGCGGGCCCUUCCCCCACAUCCAUGACCCCACACGCCACAGGCAGCACAGGUAACGUCUCGCUUCCCUCAAGACAUACCCCACCUGCUCCCUGCCCGGCCCACGUCUCCCCGGACAGCAGCCUCCGAGUUGGUUGAGGGGGCACUCAGUGGGUGCCAAGCAGGGCCCUUGAGAACCCACAGGAGACCCCACCCCCCCAGGUCCCAGUGCCCCUGGUCCAAUGACCGAGCUCCCUCCUGGGGCGGCAGGAGCCACCCCUCCCUUAGCCACGACGCCUGUGCCCCGUCCCCACCUGCAGGGGAGUCGGACGCUGUGUCCUUGGUGACACUAGCCAGGAACUCGAUCCCCCCACUCAUCUCCUCAUCAUAGUUGGGGGGCUCCUCGGUGUCUGAAAGUUCCAAGUCUGGGGAAGACAGGUUGGGGUGAGGACUGGGGUCACUGGGGGGCUGUCCUCACAGCCCAGUCAGCAGUGUCCAUCAGCUCUGUGCACAGAGGUGCAGGCAGUCGGGACCCACAGAGAGGAGGGCUAAACCGCAGGGCUGGAGGAGGGACCCCACUUAGAGGGCAGUGUCCCUGGAACCCCAUCCUGGGUGGGUCUGCAGCUGGGGCCCUGACCAUGCCUCCCCUGCCUGGGUGGCUGGAGGGUCCCCAGAGGGGAAGGUCCUGAGAGGGGAGGUUCCCGAGCCGGGAGGGCUGGGGCUGGGAGGUGGUGGCUCCCAGUCCCAGCGUUCCUGCAGGGCCCCCAGCGCACCUUUCUCCUUGAUGGUGAAAUUCUGCGCAGGGCUCUCCAUGGGCAGCUUCCCAUUGGGGAUGCUGCUGUUUCUCUGCGGAGCAAACGUGAAGCUGCUCACACCCCGACACAGCCACACCCAGCCCUGACUGCCCCCGCUCCAGGCCCCAGCCCCGCCAAGCCUCCUGGUGACCCAGCCUUACCCGCUUCUGGGCACGCUCCCGCUUGUACAGCUUGGCCGCCUUCUUGUUCUGGUUGAGCCCCAGCUUGGUCGACUUGAAGGACUCCAGGCGCUUCCGCAUGGUCCUGUGGAAGAUUUCCCGGUCCUGUUUCUCGUCCUCCGUGGGCGUGAGCUCGUGUCGGCUGUACAGAUGCUUGUACUGCGGGAUCAGGCACGGAGGUCACAGCUGUGCCCACCGCCGGACAUUCUCGCCCUCCUGCCGCAGGAGCUGAGCACGGAUCCCCCGUGGUCCCAGGAGGGGACGAGGAAGCCGCCCCACGGGGUCCCUGCGGGGUCCUCCAGCCCCCAGCCCGCAGUGCCCACCUCCUGCCGCGGCUUGUACAGGUACUGCUGUAGCGUGUGGUGCGUGACCAUGUCCUCCGCGUCCCGGAUGCUCCGCCGUCGCUGCUCCAGAGACUGCAUGUCCAGGCAGACAGCGCUGACAUUUUCUCUCCUGCGUGGGGACCAGCGCUGAGCCAUACAGGCUCCCUCAGGGUGGGGUCUCUUGCGCGCCCCUCGCCUUCCCACGGCGGGCAUCUGGCCCUGGCUGCCUCCUGCGUGCCCCUCGCCUUCCCAUGGUGGGCACCCGGCUGGGGCACGGGGACAUCUGCCAUCUGGCCAGCCCCUUCUCCCCUCGGGGCUUAGGCUGACUCCCCACGAGGCCUUCCUGGCCUCCUGUCUGAAGUGGGUCCCUUUCCUUACUGGUCCCUCUCCAAAGCCCUGGCUGUAAGACUCGGGGACCCCAGCAUCUGCACAUCUGGCAGAGUGGACCUCCUAUGAGAACUGGCUGUGAGCUGUGGAGCCCAGGGCCGGAGGAGCAGUAAGGGUGGCAUGGGGACCAGGACAGGCUGCUGCGGGCCAGGGGCAAACACGUCAGGCCUGGCCCCCAGUCCGCUGCUGCCCCUCCCUUUCACCUUCCAUCCAGCACUAAGGGAGUCUGGCCACGGCCUAAUAUAGGAGGGCUUGUGGAAGGAGACACCCACCCCCUCUUUCUGCACCUCUCCCCUCUUCCAUGCCACCCCCAGGCCAGGAGCCACCACAGCCCUGUCUGUGACUCUCAGCUCCCGAGGCUGGGCUCUUCCCCAGGGAAGCUGCAUGACCAUGGCCACAUACAGGAGGUAGGAGACAGAGGCCUCCACGGUGGACGAUCGUGGCGUGAAGUCCACGUUGACCACGUUGUCGGUGCUGGGGGAGCGGAUGAAGGCCAGGGACCCGCGGCGCUCUCCCUGUGGUCAGGAAGCAGCCCGGAGACCCUAAAACUCCAUUGGCCUCAUGUCCAGAACUGAAUCAGGUUCAGCUCGUGGAAGACAUUCAGGAUCCGGUCUCGAGACUUCUGGGCCGACCGUCUCAUGAGGACCCUGCUGAGGAACUUCCUGUCGAAGUGGGACCACCUUGACCCUGUAGGCGCGUUUAAAAUGAGGGAAGCAGCCCCUGCCACACGCCCAGGCCGUCCGCCGUUCUCCCGCCUGUCCUGUUGGAUGGAGGCCGUUAGACGCAUAUGAAACUGCAUGCCGCCUCCUCCAGAGGGUGGCUCAGGACACGCCUAACGGAAUUAGAGUAUUCGCUGGUUAUCCAGAUCAGAAGGGACGGUGGCCUGGCCGGACUUAGAGGAAACUCUGGGGCACAAGGAGGUGAUGCCUGUCACUUGGACAUGGGUGCAGCCGCCAGAGCCGCCCUCCAGGGCACAGGGUGGGCCCGGGUGAGCUUGUGUGCUCACACCUGGGCAGGCCCCGCGGCAGCAAUGGCAGCUCUCCUGUACAGGCUGAGUUUCAGCCACACCAAGAAGUCAAAGCUAACCGAGGCUGUGCCUUCCGAGACCCCCGGGAUGGCCCCUGGGAGGCCAAGGAGUCGGGGACUGGGUACCCGGAGCAGAGUCACUGUGGCCACGGAGAACCGCAGCUGAGCUUUAUGAAGCCACGUGGCCACACCUCCCGGUGCCUCCACCCCAAGCAAACACAGAUCGCUCAGAAAAUGGGAACCCAGGGCAAAUUGUAUGUGCUCCUUACUGGGUUUAUUAUAAGUGUCACAUGUUUUUUAUAAUAAAACAUAGGUGAUUUCACCUUAAUGGACAAACUCUUUUUUUUAUUUUGGGACGAAGUCUCGCUCUGUCACCAGGCUGGAAUGUAAUGGCGCAAUCUCGGCUCACCGCAGCCUCCACCUCCCGGGUUCAAGCGAUUCUUGUGCCUUAGCCUCCUGAGUAGCUGGGAUUACAGGCCCACGCCACCACCCC
rnacentral:lncRNA from 1 species